rnacentral:rRNA from 1 species
GACGAACGCUGGCGGCGUGCUUAACACAUGCAAGUCGAACGGAAAGGCCCUGCUUUUGUGGGGUGCUCGAGUGGCGAACGGGUGAGUAACACGUGAGUAACCUGCCCUUGACUUUGGGAUAACUUCAGGAAACUGGGGCUAAUACCGGCUAGGAGCUCCUGCUGCAUGGUGGGGGUUGGAAAGUUUCGGCGGUUGGGGAUGGACUCGCGGCUUAUCAGCUUGUUGGUGGGGUAGUGGCUUACCAAGGCUUUGACGGGUAGCCGGCCUGAGAGGGUGACCGGCCACAUUGGGACUGAGAUGCGGCCCAGCCUCCUACGGGAGGCAGCAGUGGGGAAUAGUGCACAAUGGGCGGAAGCCUGAUGCAGCAACGCCGCGUGCGGGAUGACGGCCUUCGGGUUGUAAACCGCUUUCGCCUGUGACGAAGCGUGAGUGACGGUAAUGGGUAAAGAAGCACCGGCUAACUACGUG